rnacentral:tRNA from 1 species
GGGUUGGUGCCCGAGUGGUUAAAGGGGAUGGAUUGUAAAUCCAUUAACAUUUGUUUACAUAGGUUCAAAUCCUAUUCAACCCA